rnacentral:rRNA from 1 species
AUGACUAGGGAUAACCUUAGGAAGAGACACAUCAUCAAACCCCUUGAUUGUGUUUACUGCUUGGAACAAGAGUCUUGUUCUCACCUAUUUUUUGAAUGUAUAGUUGCUAAACAUAUCUGGGCCCACAUUGAGGAAUAUUUCUCUAGUCAGAUUGGCUCAUCCUUCGAAUCUGUCGCCAGAUUCUGGAUUGCUACCAAAAAGUGCUUAAUUUUAAACACUGUUAGCUCAACUGUCCUUUGGUGCCUCUGGAAAUAUAGAAAUGCUAUGAUUUUCAGUAACACCUCCUGGAUUUCCAUUCCGCGGGUCUUGAGGUUGAUCAGGAACAUGGUGAGGAACUGGGCGAUUCUCUCCUCUGGAUCGGACAAGGACAAGUUGAUGAGCUUCGUGGAAACCCUAACAAGAUCCCUCCAGAAACCGUUGGCGAUCACUUGUGGCUGA